rnacentral:rRNA from 1 species
AAAGUCUGACCUGCCCAAUGAAGUUAAAAUUUAAAUGGCCGCGAUAUUUUGAUCGUGCAAAGGUAGCAUAAUAAUUAGUUUUUUAAUUAAGAACUGGAAUGAAUGGUCUCACGAGAAAAAGACUGUCUCAAUUUAAUUUAAAUUAGAAUUUUAUUUUUAAGUUAAAAAGCUUAAAUAAUUUUAAAAGACGAGAAGACCCUAUAGAGUUUUAUAUAUUUUAAUUAUUUUAAAAUUAAAGAAUUAUUUAUUUAAUUUAAUUAUAAAUGAUAUUUGGUUGGGGUGAUUGAAAAAUUUAAUAAACUUUUUUUAAUAAAAAUCAUUAAUUUAUGAUUAAUUGAGCCA